GAUGAAGAACGUAGUGAAAUGCGAUACUUGGUGUGAAUUGCAGAAUCCCGUGAACCAUCGAGUCUUUGAACGCAAGUUGCGCCCGAAGCCACUAGGCCGAGGGCACGCCUGCCUGGGCGUCACACGUCGUUGCCCCCCCAUCUACUCCUUCGGGAUUGCGGGGGGGCGGAUGAUGGCCUCCCGUGCGCCUAGCCGCGCGGUUGGCAUAAAUACCAAGUCCUCGGCGACGCACGCCACGACAAUCGGUGGUUGCGAAACCUCGGUUGCCCGUCGUGUGCGUUCGUCGCGCAUCGAGGGCUCGAAAAAAUGCUCGGCUCCGGCUGGGCUUUCAACGCGACCCCAGGUCAGGCGGGGUUACCCGCUGAAUUUAAGCAUAUCAAUAAGCGGAGA
rnacentral:misc_RNA from 1 species